UACGAAGGGGGCAAGCGUUGUUCGGAAUUACUGGGCGUAAAGGGCGCGUAGGCGGCUUAUCAAGUCAGGCGUGAAAUUCCCGGGCUCAACCUGGGGGCUGCGCUUGAUACUGAUGAGCUUGAAUGCGGGAGAGGAUAGUGGAAUUCCCAGUGUAGAGGUGAAAUUCGUAGAUAUUGGGAAGAACACCGGUGGCGAAGGCGGCAUCCUGGACCGGCAUUGACGCUGAGGAGCGAAAGCCAGGGGAGCAAACGGG
rnacentral:rRNA from 1 species